rnacentral:rRNA from 1 species
UACGGAGGGGGCUAGCGUUGUUCGGAAUUACUGGGCGUAAAGCGCGCGUAGGCGGUCUCUUAAGUCGGAUGUGAAAGCCCUCGGCUCAACUGAGGAAGUGCACCCGAAACUGAGAGGCUUGAGUACAAAAGAGGGUCGCGGAAUUCCCGGUGUAGAGGUGAAAUUCGUAGAUAUCGGGAGGAACACCGGUGGCGAAGGCGGCGACCUGGGUUGAUACUGACGCUGAGGCGCGAAAGCGUGGGGAGCAAACAGG